rnacentral:rRNA from 1 species
GACGAACGCUGGCGGCGUGCCUAAUACAUGCAAGUAGAACGCUGAAGGAGGAGCUUGCUUCUCUGGAUGAGUUGCGAACGGGUGAGUAACGCGUAGGUAACCUGCCUGGUAGCGGGGGAUAACUAUUGGAAACGAUAGCUAAUACCGCAUAAUAGUAGAUGUUGCAUGACAUUUGCUUAAAAGGUGCAAUUGCAUCACUACCAGAUGGACCUGCGUUGUAUUAGCUAGUUGGUGGGGUAACGGCUCACCAAGGCGACGAUACAUAGCCGACCUGAGAGGGUGAGCGGCCACACUGGGACUGAGACACGGCCCAGACUCCUACGGGAGGCAGCAGUAGGGAAUCUUCGGCAAUGGACGGAAGUCUGACCGAGCAACGCCGCGUGAGUGAAGAAGGUUUUCGGAUCGUAAAGCUCUGUUGUAAGAGAAGAACGAGUGUGAGAGUGGAAAGUUCACACUGUGACGGUAUCUUACCAGAAAGGGACGGCUAACUACGUG